ACCGUUCUUAUUCUGGAUUUGCAAAUUGUCAUUAAUUUCUGUUGCAACUGCUAUCCGUCAAUAUUAUGGCCUGUAAAUAUCCAAGUUUUUCAGUGUUUUCAAAGCCUGUAACACUGUCAUGAGCUCUGUGUACUGUCCUGUGCCUUGCACUACUCCCUCUUUUGAAGCUAUGACCAUGUUGCUCUGUUUCAGAAUGAAAGCCCAGUGAGCUUCUUGUCUGCGGCCGUUUUUGAGCCAUCUGUGAAAACAACUGUAUUUUUAUAAAGCUCUAAUUUCUUUUUCUGUCAUUUUUUAAGUUCCUUUUGUCUGAUUUUCAGAUCUGGAUCUAGAAGCAUACUUUGCCAUUUCUGCCAUCGGCUAUUAAGCGCAUGGGCAUCCUUUACAUUGUUUUUGGAGAGAUUAGCUAAUACUGCUGUUUUGUGUUAAUAAAUAUUUUCUGGCCCCUUGCCAGGCCUUUCAGCUCGGAAUAUCAUUUGCUAAGUGCUGCCAACUGCUUCUCCACACCAGUAAAUUUAAGUUCUGGGAUCUCCCAGCUUCCAGUCAUAAUUCAGACCAUCCUUCUGUCCGAGCGACUCUCUGGGCAGAUGGGGAGCGGCUUGCUGAUCUCAUCUGUCCGAACAUUCCCGAUGGCUGAGAGGAUCCUGGCUGGUUGUUGUCCUCCCUUUUCUCAAAAUUUUUUUCCAGUUCAUCCUGAUUUAUGUUAGUCAUUAAUAAAUUUAUGGUCAAUUGACCUUCCUGUGACAUAUCUGUAAUUCCCAAUAGUAUGCCUUCUAAUACCGAAUUAACUGGGUGUUCAAAUUGUUCCCAUUAAAGUCAUAUGUAUUUAA